AGGAGGUUUACCAGGAGCAGGAGUAGUAGGUGGAGGAGCAGGAGUACCAGGGGGCAUACCAGGAGGAGUACCAGGAGCAGGAGGAUACUCAGCAGCAGCCAAAGCUGCAAAGUAUGGAGCAGGAGUUGCAGGAGCAGGCCUCGGAGCAGGAGCACUUGGAGGGUUAGGAGGAGUGCCUGGUGGAGUACCAGGAGGAGUAGGAGCAGGGGGGUAUUCUGCUGCAGCCAAAGCUGCUAAAUAUGGUCUCGGAGCUGGUGGUUUGGUGCCUGGGGGUGGAUAUGGAGUCCC